GUUUAUUUUGCUGCACAGAUGGAAUUUAGGAUAAGCCCUCAGCUAUGUGAUCUCUGAGAAAGUGUCUAGUGUGUGUUGGUGUAAGACACCUGGUAUCUUUAGGCAGCAUGAGUCCUUUGUAAUUACUACAGGUUCUGCAAAGAACUAUUACUCUUGGCAAGGACUUUAUUGACAUUCCCUUUAGCAAACAGAGACUCGGUGAUGUUCACGGCCACCAGCUCUCAGGAAAGGCUGUUGUGGGCAGCAACACAGCUGGACAUUCCUUUGCUUACUGAUGGGAGAUUCAUAAGCAGAAACGGGGUUUCACCGUGUUAGCCAGGAUGGUCUCGAUCGCCUGACCUCGUGAUCCGCCCGCCUCGGCCUCCCAAAGUGCUGGAAUUACAGGCGUGAGCCACUGCGCCCGGCCGAGAAACCUAUUUUUGAUGUUUAUAUUUGGAUACUUGCUCUUGGAGCCCACCUGCCCUGCUGGGAGGUGCUGGGAACACCUGGAGAGCCAUGUGCAGCUGUGUGGCCAGCAAUCCCAGCUUUGUUCCCAGCCAGCUGCCAGACCUGGGAGUGAGGAAGCCUUCCAGAAGACCCCAGCCUAGUCCCCAUCUGACAGCGACCUCAUGAGAUAUCCUGAGUGAGAUCUACCCAGCCGAGCCCAAUAAACCCAUGAAAACAUCAGAGGUUUUUCUCCUCUUCCUUUCUCUCCUCCUCCUCCUCAUGAAAAUUGCUGCAGUUUUAUGCUACUAAGUUUGGGCUGAUUUAUUACACAGCAAUAGAAAACUGAAACAUCAAUCAAUGGCACGUUGUUAGAAAUUAUCAAAGGCAGUGGGCACGGCUUGUCAUGCCUGUAAUCCUAGCACUUUGGGAGGUAGAGGUCGGCUGAUUGCUUGAGGCCAGGAGUUCAAGACCAGCCUGGGCAACAUGGUAAAACCUUGUCUCUAUAAAAAUUAGCUGGGCUUGGUGGCAUGCAUGGGUAGGCCCAGCUACUUGGGAGUCUGAGAUGAGGGAUCGAUUGAGUCCAAGAGGUCAAGGCUGCAGUGAGCCGUGAUCGCACCACUGCACUCCAGCCUGGGCUACAGAGCAAGAGCCUGUCUGAAAGAAAGAAAGGAUGAAUGAAAGAAAGAAAAGAAAGAGAAAGAAAGAAGGAAAGAGUGAAAGAAAGAAAGAAAGAAAGAAAAGAAGGAAAGAAAGAAAGAAGGAAGAAGUUACCAAAGGCCCUAUACUAUUUCCUAUUAAUAUUCCUUCUCAUUCUCCUUUAUUCUUCCUAUCUCUGUAAGAAAGCACACUAAUGAUAACUCAUAUAGAGCUUGUGCAGAAGUGAGUUUUGACCAAGUGUUGCCCCAGGUGGUCCUUGAUCAUGGAACCUGGUAGGAUGUGCUAGCAACUGUGACCAAGGCCAGGCCAUGAAGCUGCACAUCCAAGCAGGUGAUGCUUCAGACUCUUUCCAUGUUCUCAGAAGGGAAAGAGUGAGACAGUUAAUAUGUAGGUGGGUGUUUUGUUUUGUUUCUUAAACUAAUUGUGAUUCAUGUGCUCUUGGCACAGUUUGUCUCCAUGACUUUCACUGGACUCGGGGUUGGGUUUUGGGGUAUCACUUACCAGUGUGCAAACACUGCGUUUCUGGGGGAGGAAAGCUCUAGAUUGCAAGGGCGAGAAGCAAAGUGAAAAAUCCUGCCCAAGUGAGUAAUAAUAAUUGCUAACCCCCAUGGACUUACUGUCACAUUAUUCUUUUUACAUAAUGUAUAUUUUACUGUGUGAGUAAGCUUCAAAGACUUUCAAAACCCUUUUUCUUACUUUAAAUAGUGAAUUUUACAGAUCAUUAAGUUGGUAAUUAUAUAAAAGCCAUAGCUAUUCUGCAUCUGGUAUGGAACUCUUGGCAGUGCUCCCCUUGGGGAUCUGCUCCACCUUUUGAGAAUAGAACUCUUUGGGCUUCCUGAGAGUCUUGAGGAGCAGAGGAAGAAAGAGCCUUAGUGCAGUCCUCCGGAAGAACAGAUGGGGCAGGAGAUGCCUGCGGGGCUAUGCGCCUCCAGAAAAAUUAUGGAAAACUCAGGGAGGGGCCUGAAAGGCAGCAGGACCUGGAGGGGCAGUG
rnacentral:lncRNA from 1 species